UACGGAGGGUGCGAGCGUUGUCCGGAAUUAUUGGGCGUAAAGAGCUCGUAGGCGGCUUGUCGCGUCGACUGUGAAAAUCCCGCGGCUCAACUGCGGGUCUGCAGCCGAUACGGGCAGGCUAGAGUUCGGUAGGGGAGACUGGAAUUCCUGGUGUAGCGGUGAAAUGCGCAGAUAUCAGGAGGAACACCGGUGGCGGAAGGCGGGUCUCUGGGCCGAUACUGACGCUGAGGAGCGAAAGCGUGGGGAGCGAACAGG
rnacentral:rRNA from 1 species